ensembl:lncRNA
UUUUUUUUUUUUUUUUUUUUUUUCAUGUAUGCCUAUAGUUGUGAAGCUGCACAACAAAACAAUAUCUUCAAGGCCACAGGAUAGAGAUAACCCUUGUUUUGGUGUAUGCAUUUGGGUCUCCUUAUUUUCCAUGUCCGAGCCUGUGGUUUAUCUCUCAAGGAUGUGCCUGGGGGAGGAGACAUAUACUGCCUGGACCGCCUGGCUGAUUUGAGCUAGUUUGUCUGGUUGAGUUGGAUGUUUAAAUAGAAGGCACAACAACAACAGGGUCUUGCUCUGUUGCUCAGGCUGGAGUGCAGUUGCAGUGGCAUAAUCACAAUUAACUGCAGCCUCAACCUCCCAGGCUCAAUCAAUCCUCCUGCCUCAGCCCGCCAAGUAGCUGGGACAACAGGCGUGCACCACCAUGGCUGGCUAUGUUUUAAAUUUUUUUUUGUAGAGACAUGGUCUCUCUGUGUUGCCCAGGCUAGUCUUGGUCUCCUGGGCUCAAGCAAUCCUCCCACCUCAGCCUCCCAAAGUGCUGAGAUUACAGGUGUGAACUAUCUCACCCGGCUUUUAAUCUUUUUAUUAGUGAAAUAAAUAUCUGAUCCAACAGCUAGGAUCUGAUGGUCUUUUUAGUAUGACCUCAAAUCACUGUAUCCUGUAAGCAUUUUUUUUUUUUUUUUUUUUUGAGUGGGAGUCUCUGUUGCCCAGGCUGGAGUACAGUGGCACAAUCUCAGCUCCCUACAACUUCUGCCUCCUGGGUUCAAGCAAUUCUCCUGCCUCAGCCUCCCGAGUAGCUGGGACCACAGGUGCCUGCCACCACACCCGGCUAAUUUUUGUAUUUUUACUAGAGAUGGGGUUUUGCCAUGUUGGCCACGCUGGUCUUGAACUCCUGACCUCAAGUGAUCUCCCCACCUUGGCCUCCUAAAGUGCUGAGAUUACAGGCGUGAGUCACUGCACCCGGCCUAUAAACAUAUUUUCUUCUAGAGUGUUUUAGGUCUGUACAUGGAGUCCUAGGUCAAUGCUGUCACCAACUCACACUGACCCCUAACUGUGGAAUCUGAGCAACAUCAUUAGUUAGGCCCAUGGACAAAAUAACAAAGUCAUCUGUUUCCAUGUUCCCUUAUUUCCUCCUCUGCAUACAUUAUACAUACAACAGUUUCCCUUUAUCACACAUACCUGUGACCACGUGGCAAUCAUUCUACCCCAAACUGCUGCAACACAAUCUGAGGCUUACUAAAUAUUCACCUCAGUCAUAAAGCUGGGGGAGCGUUAGUUUAAAAUGCAAGUAGGGACCACGAGGAUCUUCUGGGUUUCAUGUUGAAACAUUCAAGCUGCUCCUCCUACUACAACUAUUACUACUAAAUGCUUAUUAUGAUUUUUGAAAACUAGAACAAUCCAAGUAUUGCUAAUUUUUUAAAAUUCCCAUUUCUUUCACUUUCCCAACUGUUGUCUAUUCACCCUUUAUUCUACCUUUAAAGCAAGAAAAACUGAAAUAAUUAUUUAGAAAGUUCUUUCACUUCUGUCAAAACAACAAAACCUAUAUCGUUUGAGUGAUUAGUCAGGGACAGUUGAUGAAAGGACAGUGGUCAAAAAGAAAAAUGGUUCCUUAAACUCUUAGAGAAAAGAAAUCAAGCUUGCAUUGUGAUCAAACUAAAUGAAUGUACAUAGUAAUAAGCAACAAUUUGAAAGGUAGACCAUGUUUUUCUUGCCCCUAUGAAUUCAUUCAGAUGGGUAAGACAGAUGGCUUAGGACUCCAUAUUACAUUUGUAUGAAUUAAUAGAUAUUAGAGGAAUGUGUAAUAAGUGACUUCAUGAUUGACUGAUACAGGUUUUGGAUUUUUAUUUUUAUUUUUCUGAGACAAAGUCUCACUCUGUCACCCAAGCUGGAGUACAGUGGUGCGAUCUUGGUUCACUGCAACCUCUGCCUCCCAGGCUGAAGUCUUCCUGCCAACUCACUACUCAAGAGGCCAAGCCAGGAAAAUCACUUGAAGCUGGAAGGUGGAGGUUGCAGUGAGCCAAGAUCCACUGCUGCACUGUAGCCUGGAUGACAGAGCGAGACUCCAUUAAAAAAAAAAAAGUAUUUAUUGAACACCUACUCUGUGCCAAACACCAUUUUAAUGAGUGGCAAACAACAGUGAACACCUUUGUACUAAAAGGCAAAACAGACACCCAGAAAAAACAAACCAGGGUGUGUAGUUUGUGAUACUGGGGCCAAAUGAAAGACUCUUGUUAUAAAUUUGAUGGACUUUUAGGGGAUGGGAAGAUCAUAGUCUGCCGAAAUAGUCAAAGAAAGCUUACAUUUUGAGCCAGGCAUUUAGGGAUGGAUUUGAUUUAAAAAAGCAGAGAGGAAAAGGAAACAUAUUUCAUAUGAGAUGGAAUAGCAUAAUAAUGAGAACAUUUACAAAGUGCUUUACAGUUUGCAGAGCAUUUUCUCAUUCAUGAUUCAGAGUGAAAAUAAGCCAAGCUUUUCAGAGCCAAGUGUUGAGACCAAUCUGACUUAGUAGAAAGUAAUCAUUCCUUCUUACCUCUGUCUCCUGUCUUCUCUUUCCUGAUCAGAGUUCAUGGUUUCAUAUUGACUUUUUAAUCCAAAGUCCUUUUAUAGUGGAUUUCUUCUACAAAGAAGUGGCAAAGAGAAUGAGAAAGCUAUAUUUCUUAAAGAAAAUGCAUCUUAACGCUUAUGUGGGUAUGUGUAUAAUACACGUGUGUGUAUGUGUGUCUGCUAACAGUUGGCACAAGACACUUUCUAUUUUUUUUUUUCUUUUUUGGUCUGUUUAUUUAAGAUGGAGUCUCACUCUGUCACCCAGGCUGGAGUGCAGUGGCCCGAUCUUGGCUCACUGCAACCUCUGCCUCCUGGGUUUAAGCAAUUCUCCUACCUCAGCUCCCGAGUAGCUAGGAUUAUAAGCAUGCACCACCAUGCUGGCUAAUUUUUGUAUUUUCAAUAGAGAUGGGGUUUCACCAUGUUGGCCAGGCUGGUCUCAAGCUCCUGACCUCAAGCGAUCCACCCACCUUGACCUCCCAAAGUUCUGGGAUUACAGGCAUGAGCCACCGCACCCGGCCGACACUUUCUAUAUGGGAUGAACAAGACAUUUUGUGCUUUAUGAUCCCAGCAUAAACAUCUCCUGGACUUUGAAGGACUUCCCUUUUCUAGCCAAUCUUAUGUCUUCUCCCUUUCUUAACUCAAAGUAGAUGUGUUCCUUCUGGCUGUUUCACCGCCCCGCCUCCCUUUCACACCUCUCCUGGUGCUGUCUGCUCCUCUGCCCACCUAACUAGGCCCUACUACCACCCUUCUGUUUUCAGACCUAGCCUUACCUCCUUCAUGAGCUCUUCUCCAGUUACAAAUGCAACUGAUGAUCAUUUGCACCCCUCUUCAUCUUUGCAGUAGUUCUUAAUUUUGUGGGGGACAUAUUAUAUCCCCUUAAGAAUGUGAUGAAUGCCUUGGACCCUGGACACAUAUAUACAAAAAGUAUGUGUCUAAUCUCAGAGGAUCGUGUUCCCCUGAAAACAUUGCUUUCCUGAAUCACAUUUGUUUGGAACUAACCAUAUACUUCAAUGCAUUAAAAUAUACUUUUAUAUCACUUUGCCUAAUACAUGUCUUCAUAAUUAGACUAACCUUGAGGAGAAAACUGUAGUAGAAUUUUUUGGUAUCCUCAUAGAGCUUGGUUAAAUGUAGAGCACAUAGCAGUAUUUAAUGAAAAUGAAUGAA